rnacentral:rRNA from 1 species
UACGGAGGGGGCUAGCGUUGUUCGGAAUUACUGGGCGUAAAGCGCGCGUAGGCGGACCUGCAAGUCGGGGGUGAAAGCCCGAGGCUCAACCUCGGAACUGCCUUCGAUACUGCGGGUCUCGAGUCCGGGAGAGGUGAGUGGAAUUCCUAGUGUAGAGGUGAAAUUCGUAGAUAUCGUAAGGAAGACCAGUGGCGAAGGCGAAUCUCUGGACAGUUACUGACACUGAGGCACGAAGGCCAGGGGAGCAAACGGG